UAGUUUUCGUCAUCACUGGCUUGCCCUAUUUGUCUGCAGGAGUUGAAUUAAUCUCCAGAUAGGCUUCAUCCUUUGAUUAAGCCAUCAACCCAACUCUAUAUUAUCCCAUAGAACCAACAAGGAAGACAGAGUUACAGAUCGUCAUUCCAAGGGGUCGCUUUUCCGCAGCCCAUGCAUUGAGAACUUCUUGAAGAAAGAGAAAGAACUUCAAAGUCUUCAAUUCCACUAGGAUGUCGACUGUUACCACCCUAUUUUGCUUACUUCUCAUCCAAAUGGUUAGCAUUGCUCCAUUCCCUUAUAAUGGACCCUCUCAGCAGAAUAAAGACUUCGCCUAUCGUGACAGUGAUGAGACUGGUAACGCAAUCCAAGAACGAAACGCGUUACGUCGUAACGGAAGCAAGAAGAGCAGCUUAAGUUUAUUCUACAACCGAGUCACUCGUGCUCUUCAUUCAUGCGUCGAAAAAGGCUCUCGAAAAGUAGAAAUUUGUGGUGACGAUCAAGUGGUAACGGUCACGUGUCAGAAGAAAAGCUGGGGUUGCACUAGCAGCUCCCAAGCUUCAUCAGACUGCAAAGAAAUAAUAAAGUACUCUAAUGCCUGUGGAACAAAAGUCACGGAUUGUGAAUGCAAGUAAAAAGUUUAUCAAAAACUCCCUUUGGAAAUGACAUCUGUUUACCAAAGAAACUACCGUUACCCUUUUGCUUUUGAGAAGUAAUCAAAAUUGUACAUACUUUUUUUUAGCAGUACCAUAAAACAUUUAACAUAGUGAAAAAAGCUGGCUAUCAGUGCAACGUUUUGUACAGCAA